GACGAACGCUGGCGGCGUGCUUAACACAUGCAAGUCGAACGAUGAAGCUGGAGCUUGCUCCGGUGGAUUAGUGGCGAACGGGUGAGUAACACGUGAGCAAUCUGCCCUUGACUCUGGGAUAACUGCGUGAAACUGUAGCUAAUACAGGAUACUUUCACUGGAAGGCAUCUUCUGGUGACGAAAGAAUUUCGGUCAAGGAUGGGCUCGCGGCCUAUCAGCUUGUUGGUGAGGUAACGGCUCACCAAGGCGACGACGGGUAGCCGGCGUGAGAGGGUGGCCGGCCACACUGGGACUGAGACACGGCCCAGACUCCUACGGGAGGCAGCAGUAGGGAAUAUUGCACAAUGGGCGCAAGCCUGAUGCAGCAACGCCGCGUGAGGGAUGAAGGCCUUCGGGUUGUAAACCUCUUUUAGCAGGGAAGAAGCGAAAGUGACGGUACCUGCAGAAAAAGCACCGGCUAACUACGUGCCAGCAGCCGCGGUAA
rnacentral:rRNA from 1 species